rnacentral:sRNA from 2 species
GUGGUUGUCAAGAAAGAUUGGCUCAACCCUCUUUUCGAAGGAACCUUUACCGUAAACCAUGACCACCAUCACGUUCUGCUAAGAUCAAGUUAUGCCAAGUCAAAGCAUGAACUCGACAAGGAUGUGGAGGACACCACCGGGGAGUACAUGAUAGUUUUUCGGGAUUCUGAUAUGGAGUUGAUCGAAGAUGAUGAUGUGACUAAACGGUCCUCUCCAGAGACCCAUUCUUGCGGAGCUGAUAAUCUGCUGUUUAACUCGGAUCCCGACCAUCCCGUCUUUCGCCGAACGGCAGAGCGGGACACUACUCGUUGGGGUUCCAUGUCGUUGGAAUCCGUCUUCGGCUUGAGCCGACGACAAUUGGACAUGCCAGGAGGUGGGAAUGCUGGCGGGGUGAAUUUGGCCACGACCAUCGGAAGCACUGCGGGCUGCCCAUCCAGGAGGAAAGUCGCUUUAAUCGGGGUGGCAACUGACUGCAGUUACGCUCAGACCUUCGAUUCACAGCCGCAGCUCACCAGAGAAAAUGUCAUAAGUGUCGUCAACAGUGCGUCCC